rnacentral:rRNA from 1 species
CCUACGGGAGGCUGCAGUGGGGAAUAUUGCACAAUGGGGGAAACCCUGAUGCAGCGACGCCGCGUGAGUGAAGAAGUAAUUCGUUAUGUAAAGCUCUAUCAGCAGGGAAGAAAAUGACGGUACCUGAGUAAGAAGCCCCGGCUAACUACGUGCCAGCAGCCGCGGUAAUACGUAGGGGGCAAGCGUUAUCCGGAUUUACUGGGUGGAAAGGGAGCGUAGACGGCAGUGCAAGACUGGAGUGAAAGGCGGGGGCUCAACCCCCGGACUGCUCUGGAAACUGUACGGCUGGAGUGCAGGAGAGGGGAGUAGAAUUCCAAGUGUAGCGGUGAAAUGCGUAGAGAUUAGGAGGAACACCAGUGGCGAAGGCGGCUUACUGGACUGUAACUGACGUUGAGGCUCGAAAGCGUGGGGAGCAAACAGGAUUAGAUACCCGAGUAGUC